AGAACAUCACAUCUACAGGAACACAGAGCCCCUCCGUGUGAGCUACUGUUCCUGGGAAAGCUGGUCAUACCAAGGACAGCCCUUUGGCAAGCAUGCAGCCUUUGUUCCUCUGCCUACUUAAGCAAGCUUCUUUUGGGGGGGCGGUUGCGGGUGCACACCUCCAUCCAGUCGGCCGCCACUGGACACGCUCCCGAAUUGGUCCAUGUGAUGGCGGGAGCUGGCAAUUCUGAAAUCCACAAGGCAAGCAGCGGGCUGGAAACUCAGUAUUGGCAUCACCGAGAUGAAGACUAUUUCAAACCAAAAGAGAGAAAAAUUGAGUGCUUCCUUCACUAUUGAGGGAGAAGAUCUCCAAAGUCAUGGCAGUAUAUAUGUCAGAUCUUAAAACAAUCAGGCCAGUUAGAAACUAAUAUACACAUUGGUCAUGCAGAAUAAAAUUCCUCUCUGUAACAGUCAUUAAAGCUGUUCAUAAA
rnacentral:lncRNA from 1 species